UUCCCCUCUCGGGAUUUGAACCUGCGCCAUCAACAUUGAGAGUUGAACAUGCUCUACCAAUCUGAGCUAUCGGA